ACCUGAGUGGCUCAGUCGGUUGAGCGUCCGACUUCAGCUCGGGUCACGAUCUCACGGUUCGUGGGUUCGAGCCCCACGUCAGGCU
rnacentral:tRNA from 1 species